GCGUCGGUAGUGCAACGGUUAGCAUACGCUCCCGGAAAGAGUGGACCAGGGUUCAAAUCCCGGCUGACGCA